GACGAACGCUGGCGGCGUGCUUAACACAUGCAAGUCGAACGGAAAGGCCCUGCUUUUGUGGGGUGCUCGAGUGGCGAACGGGUGAGUAACACGUGAGUAACCUGCCCUUGACUUUGGGAUAACUUCAGGAAACUGGGGCUAAUACCGGAUAGGAGCUCCUGCUGCAUGGUGGGGGUUGGAAAGUUUCGGCGGUUGGGGAUGGACUCGCGGCUUAUCAGCUUGUUGGUGGGGUAGUGGCUUACCAAGGCUUUGACGGGUAGCCGGCCUGAGAGGGUGACCGGCCACAUUGGGACUGGGAUACGGCCCAGACUCCUACGGGAGGCAACAGUGGAGAAUAUUACACAAGGGGCGGAAGCCUGAUGCAGCAACGCCGCGUGCGGGAUGACGGCCUUCGGGUUGUAAACCGCUUUCGCCUGUGACGAAGCGUGAGUGACGGUAAUGGGUAAAGAAGCACCGGCUAACUACGUG
rnacentral:rRNA from 1 species